rnacentral:rRNA from 1 species
AGAGUUUGAUCCUGGCUCAGAUUGAACGCUGGCGGCAUGCUUUACACAUGCAAGUCGAACGGCAGCACGGGGGCAACCCUGGUGGCGAGUGGCGAACGGGUGAGUAAUGCAUCGGAACGUGCCCAGUAGUGGGGGAUAGCCCGGCGAAAGCCGGAUUAAUACCGCAUACGUACUGAGGUAGAAAGCGGGGGAUCGCAAGACCUCGCGCUAUUGGAGCGGCCGAUGUCGGAUUAGCUUGUUGGUGGGGUAACGGCCUACCAAGGCGACGAUCCGUAACUGGUCUGAGAGGACGACCAGUCACACUGGGACUGAGACACGGCCCAGACUCCUACGGGAGGCAGCAGUGGGGAAUUUUGGACAAUGGGCGCAAGCCUGAUCCAGCAAUGCCGCGUGUGUGAAGAAGGCCUUCGGGUUGUAAAGCACUUUUGUCCGGAAAGAAAUCCGUCUGGCUAAUACCCGGACGGGAUGACGGUACCGGAAGAAUAAGCACCGGCUAACUACGUGCCAGCAGCCGCGGUAAUA